AAUUGACGUUACCCGCAGAAGAAGCACCGGCUAACUCCGUGCCAGCAGCCGCGGUAAUACGGAGGGUGCAAGCGUUAAUCGGAAUUACUGGGCGUAAAGCGCACGCAGGCGGUCAAUUAAGUCAGAUGUGAAAGCCCCGAGCUUAACUUGGGAAUUGCAUCUGAAACUGGUUGGCUAGAGUCUUGUAGAGGGGGGUAGAAUUCCAUGUGUAGCGGUGAAAUGCGUAGAGAUGUGGAGGAAUACCGGUGGCGAAGGCGGCCCCCUGGACAAAGACUGACGCUCAGGUGCGAAAGCGUGGGGAGCAAACAGGAUUA
rnacentral:rRNA from 1 species